rnacentral:rRNA from 1 species
AUUGAACGCUGGCGGCAGGCCUAACACAUGCAAGUCGAACGGUAGCACAGAGAGCUUGCUCUCGGGUGACGAGUGGCGGACGGGUGAGUAACGUCUGGGAAACUGCCCGAUGGAGGGGGAUAACUACUGGAAACGGUAGCUAAUACCGCAUAACGUCGCAAGACCAAAGUGGGGGACCUUCGGGCCUCACACCAUCGGAUGUGCCCAGAUGGGAUUAGCUAGUAGGUGGGGUAAUGGCUCACCUAGGCGACGAUCCCUAGCUGGUCUGAGAGGAUGACCAGCCACCCUGGAACGGAGACACGGUCCAGACUCCUACGGGAGGCAGCAGUGGGGAAUAUUGCACAAUGGGCGCAAGCCUGAUGCAGCCAUGCCGCGUGUAUGAAGAAGGCCUUCGGGUUGUAAAGUACUUUCAGCGGGGAGGAAGGCGGUGAAGUUAAUAGCUUCACCGAUUGACGUUACCCGCAGAAGAAGCACCGGCUAACUCCGUGCCAGCCGCCGCCGUAA